rfam:Triticum aestivum genome assembly, contig: Triticum_aestivum_CS42_TGACv1_scaffold_158040_2DL
UAAAUACUCCCUCCGUCCCAACAUUCUUGUCUUAGAUUUGUCUACAUACGGAUGUAUCUAUUCACGUUUUAGUGUUAGAUACAUCCGUAUCUAGAUAAAUCUAAGACAAGAAUUUUGGGAUGGAGGUAGGAUAUG